CUUUACAUUUCCUUGCCCUCACUGAGACCUGGAUCACACCAGGCAACACUGCAACCCCUGCAGCCCUCUCCUCGUCCUCCUUCUCUCACACCCCCGUCCGUCUGGCCGUGGUGGGGGCACAGGUCCCCUGGGAAGCUUCCUCGAUGAGCUCGACACCCUGCUGAGCUCCUUCCCAGAGGAUGGCACCCCACUGAUCCUCCUGGGAGACUUCAACAUCCACCUUGAUGCCUCCCACUCCGCAGCCUUCC